rnacentral:lncRNA from 10 species
CUUGUGCGAUCUGCCUCAUUCUCCAGAGGAGGACAAUUGAGUUUCACUGAUUUGGGCUUACCACCUACUGACCACCUCCAGGCCUCAUUUGGAUUUCAGACCUUUCAACCCAGUGGCAUAUUAUUAGAUCAUCAGACAUGGACAAGGAACCUGCAGGUCACUCUGGAAGAUGGUUACAUUGAAUUGAGCACCAGCGAUAGCGGCGGCCCAAUUUUUAAAUCUCCACAGACGUAUAUGGAUGGUUUACUGCAUUAUGUAUCUGUAAUAAGCGACAACUCUGGGUGAGUGGAAUAAUACUUCUGUCAGAGCUGUGAGUGAGUUUUACUCUCUUUCGUUUAAUGGAAUUUUCUGGUGUCUUUUUGCAAAAUAUUUGUCCUUGAUACCAAAAAUACUUCACUAAUAAGUCUUGUCCUUCUUCCUUUUUCCAUAUCAAUUUCUUCAUAAAAAAAUAAACUGCCACACAUGGUGGCUCAUGUCUGUAAUCCCAACAACUAAGAAGGCUGAGGCAAGAGGGUUGCUUGAGGCCAAGAGUUCGAGACCAGUCUUGGAAACACAGUGAAACCAUGUCUCUACGAAAACUAAAAUAAAAUAAAAUGUAAAUAAAUAAAAUUUUAAAAAUAAAUCAGUUGGAUGGAUAAAUUGUGGUGUAUUCAAAUGGAAUGCUAUAUAGCAAUGAGAAAGAAGGAUCUAGAACUAUAUGUAAUGACAUGAAUGACCCUCACAAACAUAAUGUGGAAAACAUUGAGUCACACAUAAAAGUUCAUCUCAUAU